rnacentral:lncRNA from 1 species
GAAUCCAAAGCGGAAAAGUCAGGAAGACAUUCACAAAACCAAAUCAAACGCACCAAAUAUCACAUCAAAGAAUAAAUUAUAUAAAUUGACAGAUUGAAAGAAACUCAGUAGAGAUUAGAAAGAGAAAGAGAGACCGGAGGAAGUGGGAGACGUAGUUGUAGAGGUUAACGAAGGAAGCCAUUGCCAAGAAAUCAAGCUUGAAUAAUUAACAUUUAUUGUUACUAUUGAAGUUUUGGUUUCAACUUUGUUGUUUUCAUCUUGUUGAUACUGCUGCAAUUGCAGCAUUGUUUAUAUACAUUUUACAUACACGCAUGCAAUAAAGAAAAGCAAUACAGGUGUUGUGCUUGCUGUCAUGAUGCAGCAACUAGAGAAAGAGAAAAACAGCAAAACCAUGUGAUAGUCUAUCUGUCCAACAUUCCUUUUCACAACCAUGUGAUAGUCUAUCUGUCAAGGAAUAUACAACAUUCCUUUUCACGAGCAAUAUUCCUUCUCUCCCAUACUGUCCUAGCUGUCCUAGCUGCCUAGCUGUCAAUACUCCCCCUCAAGCUGGAUCAAGGGGGUUGAUUGAUCCAAGCUUGAACAAUAACCGUUGAAACUGUGUAAAAUCAAGAGCUUUCGUGAAAAGAUCCGCAAGUUGAUCAUGACUUCUAGUGUACACAGUUUCAAUGACUUUGGAUUGAACUUGAGUGCGGAUGUAGUGGCAGUCGACUUCAAUGUGUUUAGUCCGUUCAUGGAAUACAGGAUUGGAUGCAAUAUGCAUGGCAGCCUGGUUGUCACAAAAUAAGGAUAUGGGUUCCUUGCUGGUGAAGCCAAGAUCAAGAAGGAGACUCUUCAACCAGAUGAGUUCAGAAGCUGUUGCGGCCAUGGCCCGAUAUUCAGCUUCAGCACUGGACCGUGCAACCACUGUUUGUUUUUUACUUUUCCAGGUGACAAGGUUUCCACCUACAAAGGUACAAAAACCGGUGGUGGAUUUUCGAUCAAGGGAAUUACCAGCCCAGUCCGCAUCGGUAUAGGCCAGAAUGUGAUUAGACUCAUUUUUUUGCAUGAGUAUGCCUCUGCCGAUCGAGCCCUUGAGGUAUCGAAGUAUUCUCUUGACAAUUUCCCAAUGAACCAAUGUAGGAGAAUGCAUAAACUGACUGAUAAGGCUUACGGAGUAAGCAAUAUCAGGCCUUGUGAUAGUGAGGUAAAUGAGUUUCCCAACCAUGCGUUGAUACACAUUAGGAUUUGAAAGAAGAUUACCUGGAGCAUCCAGUUGAAGUUUGCUAGCAAGUGGGGUGCGGGCAGGUUUGCAGUUGACCAUAUGUGCUUCAUUAAGAAGGUCAAGAACAUACUUCCUUUGAUUUAAGAAUAAACCCUUGGAGGAGGUAGCCAUCUCAAUUCCCAGAAAAUAUUUCAAGGAUCCCAAAUCUUUAAUGGCAAACUGUUGGUGAAGUGACCUUUUAAGAGCCUCGAGUUCAUCCAUGUUGUCUCCCGUGAUGAUAAGGUCGUCAACAUAUAUAAGGACUACAAGCUUCCCUUGGACACCACUUCGAACAAAAAGAGAGGAGUCAGCAUGACUCCUUUUGAACCCUGCCACUUCAAGAACGGAGCUCAGUUUGGCAUACCAAGCUCGUGGAGACUGUUUAAGUCCAUAUAUCGCUUUAUGAAGCUUGCAGACUUUGGUAGGUUCUUUUUCUUGAGGGUGUCCUGGAGGUAGUUUCAUGUACACCUCUUCUUGAAGCUCACCGUGAAGAAAUGCGUUUUUAACAUCCAUUUGAAACAAGGGCCAGUCGUGGUUGACUGCUACUGAUAACAACACCCUCACGGUGUUCAUUUUGGCAACGGGAGCAAAGGUCUCCUUGUAGUCAAUGCCGUAAGUUUGAGUGAAACCCCGAGCAACCAACCGGGCCUUGUGUCUUUCAAUGGUACCAUUAGAGUUGAAUUUGGUCUUGUAAAUCCAUCUACUCCCUACGGCUUUCUUCCCUUUGGGAAGAUCUACUACACUCCAGGUUUUAUUUUCGUUCAGUGCUUUGAGCUCAUCAUGCAUGGCAUCUCUCCACAUAGGCAUACAUACUGCUUCUUGAAAGUUUUUAGGCUCAACAUUGUUUGCCAACUGACUUAGGAAGGAUGCAUGAGAUGCUGACAUUUUGUGAUAAGUGAGGGCUUCAGAAAUGGGAUGCCUUGCACUGUAAGUGAUGUACUCUUGUAGCUGUCGAGGAGGGUUGCGAUCGCGAGUUGGAUUCCUUUUUGGUGCUGCUACAAUUGGUUGUGUGGCAACAACUGGUGCUGGGGCACGAGAUAUAUCUUCACUGACCAUCUCAUCAACUGGAGGAUCACUUGUAGGGUGGUAUGGGGGGGUGUCUGUAUGGAUUUCAGCAAGAGUUGGUAGUGGAAAAAUAUCCAUUAGACUCUCCCCCUGAGAACUAUUUGGGGAGUGAUUGUUGAAGAAAGGAACGUGUUCAUCAAACCGUACAUCCCUAGAGACAACCAGCUUCCCAGUGUGUGGGUUAUAACAUUUGUAUCCCUUUUGAGAACUCGAGUACCCCAUAAACACACACUUGAUAGCUCGAGGUUCGAGUUUAUCACGAUGAUUUGCUUGAACGUGAACAUAACAAGUGCACCCAAAAAUCCUGAAAUGAGUUAAAUAAGCAGUUCUUCCCUUCAUAACUUCAAAAGUUGAUUUGGAAUUCAGGACACGAGUGGGAAGUCUGUUAAUGAUAUAUGCUGCAGUAAGGAGUGCUUGGGACCAGAAUCUCUUGGGAACUUGCAUCUGAAACAUGAGAGACCUAGUUUUCUCCAAUAAAUCCCUAUUCUUGCGUUCAGCCACACCAUUUUGUUGUGGUGUACCCACACAACUAGUUUGAUGCAAGAUACCAUGGCUGCUCAAGUAGUUUGACAAAUUAUUGGAGGUAUACUCGGUGCCAUUAUCUGACCGUAAGGUAAAUAUUUUUGAGGAGAAGUGGUUGGUUAUUAGCUUAUGAAAGUCUUGAAAAGUUGUAAAAAAUUCACUUUUAGACUUUAAGAGAUAUAACCAAGUAACCCUAGAGUAGUCAUCUAUGAAUGUAACAAAAUACUUGUACCCAUCAAAUGACUCAACACGAGAAGGUCCCCAAAUAUCUGAGUGUACAACUUCAAAAGGUUUACUAGUUCUAGAUUUAGAGGGUACAAAAGGUAGCCUAGUGGCUUUUGACAUUUGACAGAUCUCACACUCAUGUGUGUUGGUACAAUAAUUUGGAAAUAAUUUAGACAUUACUGGUUCGGAGGGAUGAGCUAGGCGUUGGUGCCAAAGUUGAUGCUUCUGGACAUGGCUUAGGUUGGCAAUGGGUUCCUUAACUUGAUUGAACUCCUUUGAGAGGUAGUACAAACCAUCUAAGAAAAAACCCUCACCAAUCUUCUUCUGAGUGACUCGAUCCUGAAAUACAACUGUGUGAGGAGAAAAAAUAGCAAGACAGUUCAAAGUAUGUGUGAUUUUUCCUAUGGACAGAAGCUGAAAUGGAAAUGAGGGUACAUAUAGUGCCGUAGACUCUACAUCACUCCCCAUCAAUUUAAUUUUUCCUUUUCCUAGAACUGGUUCCCCUUUCCCAUUCGCUUCAGACACAUGAGUAGGAUUAGGUAAUUUUUGAAACUCAUGUAGACAAGCUUGUUUGUUGGUUAUAUGGUUAGUGGCACCUGAGUCUAUAAUCCAAAAAUCGUGUGUGAGAUAUACAUUGAGAGCCGUGGAAAGUGCACAAAUGAUACCUGGGAUAUUGCCGGAUGUAGUGGUGUUUGAAUUUGCCAAAAAACCAGCAAAUUUUCCAAGCAUUUCUGUGGGAUUUUUCGUGGUGACAUUGUUACCCUCAGCGAUAUCACUCUUCUUUUGGAGAAAGGCAGCAAACUCAUUGAUCAGGGAGAUAGGGUUUGAGGUGAAGUUUGACAUCUCAUUAGAUGGACAACUCAGAGAUUGGAAGGCCUUAGGCGCAAACCCUUUCCCAUCCCUGAUCAUUUUUCCUUCCUUGUUAAACUUAGGUUUUAACUCAGGAUGUAAAAUCCAGCAUUUUUCCCGUACGUGCCCCUUGGUGUUGCAGUAUGUGCAUUUCCAGUCAGCUUUCCUUCCAUUAGAAGGCCUUUCACUAGUGAAGUUGUGGUUACUAGUGAAAACCCUAGCUUCUGGGCUAGACCGGGGCUCAACAUGCAUUACUUUCCUUCGAGUUUCUUCUCUUUGGACUGCAUGACACACGUUGACGAAAGAUGGUAGCUCAGGGGUCAUUAGUAAGUGGCUACGCAAGUCUUCAUACUCAACUCCCAAACUUGCCAAUAGUUGGAACACUUUAUCUUCAUCAGCCCUUUUCAAGAGUACAGCGGAUUCAGUGGUGUGUGGACGGUAUAGAUCAAGUUCAUUCCACAUAGAUUUCAAGCUUCCAAGAUGCUGAAUGAAAGUUUGAUCACCUUGCUUAAGCCCAGCGAGGCUUUUCUUCAGUUCAAACACACGAGCAGCAUUGUGUUGACUGCCGUACAUUUCCUUGAUCGAUUCCCAUAAGAUGUGUGAAGAAUCUGAGUAGCUGAAGAUCUCGGACAACUUGGGCUCCAUCGAGUUAAGUAUCCAGGACAUAACAAGCUGGUCAUUUGAGUGCCAUGCAUCAAAGGUAGCUGAGGAAGACUCUGGAGGCUUGAUGGUUCCAUUUACGUACCCUAGUUUCGAUCUUCCUCCUAGGGCAAGAGAUAUAGCUCGUGACCACGGCAAGUAGUUGAACUCAUUCAACAACACAGAGCACAGUCGUGGGUUGCUCUCCCCGUGUAUCAUGUUGGCUGGUGUUAGGGUUGAGGAUCUUGUAGCCUCAGAACUAAAUGAGAUAUCUUCUGCCAUCACAACAAAUGAUGAACAGAGAAAGAAGAACAAGCUAGAAGGAUAAUCAACAGAGGCAGGACCCUACGGUUCCUGCUCUGAUACCAUAUUGAAGUUUUGGUUUCAACUUUGUUGUUUUCAUCUUGUUGAUACUGCUGCAAUUGCAGCAUUGUUUAUAUACAUUUUACAUACACGCAUGCAAUAAAGAAAAGCAAUACAGGUGUUGUGCUUGCUGUCAUGAUGCAGCAACUAGAGAAAGAGAAAAACAGCAAAACCAUGUGAUAGUCUAUCUGUCCAACAUUCCUUUUCACAACCAUGUGAUAGUCUAUCUGUCAAGGAAUAUACAACAUUCCUUUUCACGAGCAAUAUUCCUUCUCUCCCAUACUGUCCUAGCUGUCCUAGCUGCCUAGCUGUCAAUAGUUACAGAUGAUUAACUCUAAGGUUUCUCAAUAUCUGUGAUCAAAUGCAUGCAAGUUAAAUGAGUUAUUUAGCUUGUUGAUUUUUCUUCAGCCACCAAUGCAAAAUUCAUACGAAUUCUCUCAUAUGCUUUGUAAAUCUACCAAGAUUGGUAAUAGCAUGCUACUCAGCAGAACAUUCAUUAUUCACCCAUUAGUAUUUAGCUCAUAGUUAUGAAUACAUACAUAUAUUUUGGAAAAUUUAAAUACCUAAUUGUGCAAAGCAUAUGAUGAGGGAAAGAAAAAACCAAAGUAGGUACCUGGCUAAACUGGAGAGUAGUGUUGUUAACAUACCUAAGAAUAUACUAACAUUCGUUUAAAAAUGCAUUUAUGUAAGUACUAACACCACAUGGCACUAAUAAUUAUUGCUACGCAUAUGAGGAUUAAUCAACCCUUAAUGGCACUAAUAACGAACUUACAUCUACAUAUUGAAGAGGAUUGAUAUAAUUGAGUGAAGUGUAAUCACUAACAUUUCACAUUUAACAUAAUUUCAAUUAUAAAAUCUACAUCCCAGUUAAAUAAUAAAAUCAGGGAUUAAA